rnacentral:rRNA from 1 species
GACGAACGCUGGCGGCGUGCUUAACACAUGCAAGUCGAACGGUAAGGCCCUUCGGGGUACACGAGUGGCGAACGGGUGAGUAACACGUGGGUGAUCUGCCCUGCACUUCGGGAUAAGCCUGGGAAACUGGGUCUAAUACCGGAUAGGACCACUGCCUGCAUGGGCGGUGGUGGAAAGCUUUUGCGGUGUGGGAUGGGCCCGCGGCCUAUCAGCGUGUUGGUGGGGUGAUGGCCUACCAAGGCGACGACGGGUAGCCGGCCUGAGAGGGUGACCGGCCACACUGGGACUGAGAUACGGCCCAGACUCCUACGGGAGGCAGCAGUGGGGAAUAUUGCACAAUGGGCGCAAGCCUGAUGCAGCGACGCCGCGUGAGGGAUGACGGCCUUCGGGUUGUAAACCUCUUUCAGCACCGACGAAGCGCAAGUGACGGUAGGUGUAGAAGAAGGACCGGCCAACUACGUGCCAGCCGCCGCAGUAA